GACGAACGCUGGCGGCGUGCUUAACACAUGCAAGUCGAACGGUAAGGCGCUGCUUUUGUGGGGUGGUCGAGUGGCGAAGGGGAGAGGAACACGAGAGUAACCUGCCCUGCACUUUGGUACAACUUAAGGGCACGGGAGCUAAUACCGGAUGGGAGCUCCUGCUGCAUGUGGGGGGUGGGAAAGUUGCGGCGGGUGGGGAUGGACGUGUGGGUUAUGAGCUGGUUGGUCGGGUAGUGGGUUACCAGGGGUUGUGCGGGUAGCCGGCCUGAGAGGGUGACUGGCACCAUUGGGACUGAGAUACGGCCGGGAGUCGUACGGGAGACAGCAGUGGGGAAGAAUGCACGAUGGGCGGAAGCCGGGUGAAGCAAGGCCGCGUGCGGGAUGACGGCCUUCUGGGUGUGAGCCGCUUGCGCGUGUGACGAAGCGGGAGUGACGGUAAUUGGUAAAGAAGCACCGGCUAACUACGUG
rnacentral:rRNA from 1 species